GCCUAGCUGGCUCAGUUGGUAGAGCAUGUGACUCUUGAUCUCCAGGUUGUGAGUUUGAGGCCCAGGUUAGGCA
rnacentral:tRNA from 1 species